rfam:Alligator mississippiensis ScZkoYb_24, whole genome shotgun sequence.
ACCUUCUUGUUCAAGCACUGUGCUAAAAUUACAGGAACCAGGGCUCUGCUUUGGUUCCUGUAGUAAUGCUAGCAGAGUACACACAGGAAGAAGAGUAAUUGAACUGAAUUGAAAACGACUUGGGUGGACCUCUUUCUUAAUGUCCAGUGUCCUAUGUCUUAAGAUUCAGUGCUAUAACU